AUACGGAGGGUCCGAGCGUUAUCCGGAAUCAUUGGGUUUAAAGGGUCCGUAGGCGGGAAUCUAAGUCAGUGGUGAAAUCUUGCAGCUCAACUGUAAAAUUGCCAUUGAUACUGGAUUUCUUGAAUUAGUGUGAAGUGGUUAGAAUGUGUAGUGUAGCGGUGAAAUGCAUAGAUAUUACACAGAAUACCAAUUGCGAAGGCAGUUCACUAACACUAUAUUGACGCUAAGGGACGAAAGCGUGGGGAGCGAACAGGAUUAGAAACCCCGGUAGUCC
rnacentral:rRNA from 1 species